rnacentral:rRNA from 1 species
GGCUAGAGUUUGAUCAUGGCUCAGGACGAACGCUGGCGGCGUGCCUAACACAUGCAAGUCGAACGGAGUUUGCCCCUUCGGGGGUAAACUUAGUGGCGGACGGGUGAGUAACGCGUGAGCAACCUGCCUAGAAGAGGGGGAUAACGGCUGGAAACGGUCGCUAAUACCGCAUGACAUUCCACUACCGCAUGGUGGAGGAAUCAAAGGAGCAAUCCGCUUUUAGAUGGGCUCGCGUCCGAUUAGCUGGUUGGUGGGGUAACGGCCUACCAAGGCGACGAUCGGUAGCCGAACUGAGAGGUUGAUCGGCCACAUUGGGACUGAGACACGGCCCAGACUCCUACGGGAGGCAGCAGUGGGGGAUAUUGCACAAUGGGGGAAACCCUGAUGCAGCAACGCCGCGUGAGGGAAGACGGUUUUCGGAUUGUAAACCUCUGUCCUUGGUGACGAUAAUGACGGUAGCCAAGAAGGAAGCCACGGCUAACUACGUGCCAGCAGCCGCGGUAAUACGUAGGUGGCAAGCGUUGUCCGGAAUUACUGGGUGUAAAGGGAGCGUAGGCGGGAAGGCGAGUCAGAUGUGAAAUCCACAGGCUUAACCUGUGGCGUGCAUUUGAAACUGUUUUUCUUGAGUGAAGUAGAGGCAGGCG